UUCUAGGUGAAUUAAUUUGGCGUCAACAAUGUGCGAAAUUUAAUACCAAAUGGACGUAAUACAGUUAUUGUUAUGGAAAAGACCAAACUUGAAUAUAUUAGGCUCAUGUGUCAAAUGAAAAUGACUGGAGCAAUUUGUAAGCAGUCUAUUCUUGGAAGGAUUUUAUGAUAUUAUGCUUAAACGACCAAUUUUCAUAUUUAAUGAACAAGAACUUGAACUAUUGAUCGGUGGCUUGCUUACUGUAAAUAUCUUAAAGGAGGAUCUUAAAGCAAAUAUUGAGUAUCAUAAAUACACUGCUACGUCUUUAUAGGUACAUUUUGAUAUUUUGUAUUAGCUCAAGUUUGAAAGACUUGAAUUAUACCAUCUUUUUUCCACUCACAGAUUCAAUGGUUCUGGUGCAUUGCAAGGUUUUAAUCAAGCGGAUUGUUCGAAGUUCUUACAAUUUAUCACUGGUACAUCUAAAGUGCCGUUACAAAGUUUUGCUGCGUUAGAAGGCAUGAACGGCAUACAAAAGUUCUAAAUUCACAGAGAAGACAAGUUGACAGAUAGGCUUUCAUUUGCACAUAUUUGUUUCAAUCAACUGGAUUACGAGACGUAUGAUAAACUCUAAACAAAUCUACUCAAGGCGACUUACGAAUGCACCAAAGAAUUUGGAUUUGCAUAAGCUUACCAGAAUUUGCUCCAGUACAAUUUCGAUUUCAAUCGAUACAAUUUCGCGUUCAAUCGAUGAUAGUCUAGAGACCAAACUUAUGAUUGGAUCUUUACAGCCAGUGAUAACAUUCCGGACGUGCAAUAGCCUAUUGCUUGCAAAAUUUUUAACGUACUUACAAAAAUUGUUAUACGCAAUGUUAUAUAUAAAACUAUCUUGUGAACGUAGCGAAUCACAGUGCUCUAAUUGCUAUAAUAUGUAUUAUUACACUUAUACGACUUUAUAAAUACGAAAUAUAUAUUUUCAUUUUAUCAUACACAUUAACUCUCAUGUAUCAAGAUUUAUAGAUUAAAUAGAUAUUAAUAAUCUA